GGAGAGAUGGCUGAGUGGACUAAUGGGUCGGAUGGCUAAUCCGUCGUACGAGCUUUUCGUACCGAGAGUUUGAAUCCCUCUCUUUCCA
rfam:Punica granatum cultivar Dabenzi scaffold36, whole genome shotgun sequence.